rnacentral:rRNA from 1 species
AGUGAACGCUGGCGGUAGGCCUAACACAUGCAAGUCGAACGGCAGCACAGUAAGAGCUUGCUCUUACGGGUGGCGAGUGGCGGACGGGUGAGGAAUACAUCGGAAUCUACUUUUUCGUGGGGGAUAACGUAGGGAAACUUACGCUAAUACCGCAUACGACCUACGGGUGAAAGCAGGGGAUCUUCGGACCUUGCGCGAUUGAAUGAGCCGAUGUCGGAUUAGCUAGUUGGCGGGGUAAAGGCCCACCAAGGCGACGAUCCGUAGCUGGUCUGAGAGGAUGAUCAGCCACACUGGAACUGAGACACGGUCCAGACUCCUACGGGAGGCAGCAGUGGGGAAUAUGGGACAAUGGGCGCAAGUCUGAUCCAGCCAUACCGCGUGGGUGAAGAAGGCCUUCGGGUUGUAAAGCCCUUUUGUGGGGAAAGAAAAGCAGCAGGUUAAUACCCCGCUGUUCUGACGGUACCCAAAGAAUAAGCACCGGCUAACUUCGUG